rnacentral:lncRNA from 1 species
CUGAAAUGUCUUAUCGAACACACCAUUUUUGGCCUUCCAUUGCAUAAAUUCUAGUGUGGUACCCAGCUUUUUAUGGCCUCCUGGCAAUCUGGGUAUAGCAAUUUCCUAUGAUCAUCUAUCAUGCGCUGCAACUUUGAUACUUCCGUCUGAGUUUCGCAAUCUCUGUGUGCAUCCCUAAGCACCUGACCGAGGUCAUCAGUAUGGCCAUCUUCUGCAAACUCAUCUCCAUCAGCCUCUGCCAUUGUAGUAUCUGCAAAAGAUUGACCUAUAGCACAGUCCAUAAUGUUGUCAUCAUCCUCCUCCUCUUCACCGUCUUCCAUUA